GUGAAGCCCUUCCAUUUGAAUCCUGAGAAAGACGCGCUCAAAGAACCCAGCGAACAAAGGAGAGGGUUGGAGCCCACGCAAAACAUGGGUGUGAUAAAGCCACACGAGACUUGAGCCCCCACCCUCAGUAACCACUCUCCAGCGCCCACCCGGGAGGAGGGAUCCGGGGAAAGGAUUGGCAUCUUCUGCUUCUUGAAUCCCCAUGCAGAAAACGUGGCUACCAACAGCUUCUGAAUCCACCUGCAGAGAGACUGACUGCUCUGUUAUUCCCCCAGCAUCUGUGAAGAGGCUCUGACUGGCUAAAAUGUUAGUAUAGUGAUCACCCCAGGGUUAGGCAACCAUGGCUGGUGAAAAGGAAAAAUGUUAUGAACCUGGCUGUGCCAAGUCACCUGAGGAAGCUUGUAGGAGAAGGGAAGGAGUCUGUAGCUUUAGGGGAAGACAGAGCCACAAGAUGAAAGGAGCUUGGAUGUCUGAACUAUUCCAUGGAGAAAAGCUGCAGCCAAUGAAGAACACCUGCAAUGGACUCUUAACCUGGGGGUGACGACAACCACUGAAAUAUGCUGCAUCUUAGUCCAGGGAUUUUUAAAGUGUGGUUCCUGGAA
rnacentral:antisense_RNA from 1 species